rfam:Salmo salar isolate Sally breed double haploid chromosome ssa10, whole genome shotgun sequence.
AAAAUGUGUGACUGUAAGUAGCUUUGGAUAAAAGCGUCUGCUAAAUGGCAUAUU